AGGACGAACGCUGGCGGCGUGCUUAACACAUGCAAGUCGAGCGGUAAGGCCUUUCGGGGUACACGAGCGGCGAACGGGUGAGUAACACGUGGGUGAUCUGCCCUGCACUCUGGGAUAAGCCUGGGAAACUGGGUCUAAUACCGGAUAUGACCUGCUCUCGCAGUGGGGGUGGGUGGAAAGAUUUAUCGGGUGCAGGAU
rnacentral:rRNA from 1 species